ACUAAAUUUGUAUUCUUCAUAUUUUUAUUUAUUUACUUAUUAUUAUUAUUAUUGCAGUUAAAGUAAAAAUGCAUAUGCCUUAGCCAGGAUUUUCAAGUCUGUCAUAUCCAGAGAUGGGCAGUAUUUUAAUUAAAUCUAUUUAAUUACUUUUGAUCGAGUAUUUUGUCAUUUAUACUUUGCUAGGGAACAAAAUAUCAAAUGCAAUUUGUAAUAAAAUAAUUUAAGGGACAGUAUUUUGAAUUUGAAAUUCUUUAAAUACUUAAUCAAGUAGGUCACUUUAUUCUCAGAUAACACAAUAUCUUUCUGCGCCUGUCUUAAUAGUACUGCCAAUUAUAGCCUAGCAGAGUUUUUGGCUAGAUACAAGUGAAUCAUAUGACAUCCUGUUGGAUCCAUAGGCAGAUUCUUAAAUAACUAGUUCACCCAGAAUUCUGUUGUUAAUUACUCACACUGUUCCACUCCUGUAAGACCUUUGUUCAUCUUUGGACAUAAAUGAAGAUAUUUUUGAUGAAAUCUGAGAUCCUAUCAGAUAUUGCUCACUGAAGGAAAAGGAGGAAAAGCUAUGCUACUCUACAACUUUGCUUGCUAGCUGACAAGUGAUGUUAGCUUGCUAGGUUAAGGUAGCUACUUGCUUCUACGGACAAAAUGACAUUUUUAAAGGGGCUUGAUGAAAUAAUUUUCGCUUUUUAUUGCCAAUGUGGGAACAGUAUGUAACAAAACUUUAAGAAAUUAGAGCCUGUGGACUUAUUUUUAUGUGAAGGACACAGUUUUGCUGGGAAAAUCCAAAGGCAAUCUAUCAUAACAGUGUCAUUUUAAUGAACCUCAUCUGUCCAUAUGAUGUCAGUGGAUCACAUUGGCCAUCGCUCGCUCGCAAGAGCAUGAGCAAUAAGUUGUUGGCCACAAAAUACAAAAUACUAUAUAAAUACUACAAAUACUAGUUUUUAUAUAGUAUUUGUAGUAUUUAUAUAGUAUUUUGUAUUUUCAAAUAAAUACAUUUGAUGAGCAAGUAAUUAUACUUUGUAAUAAAAUAUUUUUGAAGUAUUUGUGCCCAUCUCUGGUCAUAUGCACAUUUGUCCACUUGAUAACUGUUUCCAUUUGAUUGUAAAUGUUAUGUUUAUGUAUUUUUCCAGUCAGCAUCAGUGUUUUCUUGGUAUGUCAGCAGUUACCUUUAUUACAGUAUAUUUAGAAACAGUGAGAGCCUUGGUGAUAUUUUUUUGCAGGUUUGGCUUUUCUCCAUUUAGCAUUACAAAUUCAUUAAUAAAAAAAACACAUAUUUCAAAUAGAAAUAUUUCUCCAUUGCAAGAGGGGUGCCCUGAAUUUGCCUGUAGUGAUUGAUAUUGUGCCACCUGCUUCCUGGCAGCUGCUUCGUGAAUCCUGAAUCUCAUGCCAGCAUACUGCCUUCUGCCACUGCCACAGAGAGCUAUUUUAAGACAUGUCAAAUGCGUGCAGUGGCCGAAGGCAGUAUUAAUGAUGCUCAUGUUACUGGUGUUCUCUGAAGUGAAUGCUCAUGUGAGGCUAGAAAGGCCAGAGGUUCAUUUACAGGAAUUCCUAUUACAAAUUUACAACUUUCCAUACAGAAUGUGAUCAGUCUGUACUGAACUAAGGAGCACUGACUUCCACAGAACACCACCAACAAAUGAAAGGCUCGGCAUGCAUUUAAUAUAUGAUGCAAUUAAUAUAAAAUAAAUCAAUAAAAAGCAUUUUUUAAUUUUUGUAUUCCUUUACUGCUUUCUUUUCUGGCAUAUGAAGAGUUCGAAGAAGGAGCUGAAGAGGUAGUAGAGGUAGAGGUAGCCCCAGAGGCAGCUCCUGAACCGGAGCCUGAGCCUGAGCAAGAACCAGUGCCAGAGCCAGAGCCAGAGCCAGA